ACAAUGCGGGACUAUACGUCUUGCAAUUGGAUUGAGAACAAUGUACAACUCUUAUCGAUAAGCCAUUGGAGGGCAAGUCUGGUGCCAGCAGCCGCGGUAAUUCCAGCUCCAAUAGCGUAUAUUAACGUUGUUGCAGUUAAAAAGCUCGUAGUUGAAGUGUGGGUGAUCGCUAUUGUGAGACUUCGGUCUCUCGACAGUAAGUCACCCCCUUCCAGUAUCCAGUAGUGGGUAUUCAGUUACUUACUAUUGUGUGUUGGUCCUUUACUGUGAGAAAAUUAGAGUGUUCAAAGCAGGCGUUUGCUUGAAUAGAUUAGCAUGGAAUAAUAAUUGAAGGCUUUCGUGUUCGAUUUGAUUGGUUUGUUCAUGGAAGCAAGGUUAAAAGGAACAGUUGGGGGUAUUCAUAUUCACUAGUUAGAGGUGAAAUUCUCGGAUUUAUGGAA
rnacentral:rRNA from 1 species